rnacentral:tRNA from 1 species
CCUUCGAUAGCUCAGAUGGUAGAGCGGAGGACUGUAGAUCCUUAGGUCGCUGGUUCGAUUCCGGCUCGAAGGA